GUGGACAUUCCUUCCUCAGAGGUAUAAACAGUAAACAGGCGCCUCACUGAUAGGACGUCAAGCAGAACCAUGCCUGCCUGUGAGGCUAAAACUCUGUGAAACAGUGAACACCUUCAACCAUCCAGAGUGCUGGCUCCUGCUUCCAAGUGGAUUGAAGGCAGAAGAAUGGUGUUCCAAAGUGCCAAAAUUUGACAGCGGGAACUUGGCGGCCGCACCUGCGUCCCAGCAGCCGUCACACAGCCACCCAAAGCCGGGGGACCCAGGACCCCCUUUGGAGGGCGGGGUCGCGACCCGGCCUUCUU